GAUGAACGCUGGCGGCGUGCCUAAUACAUGCAAGUCGAACGGGGAGCUUUGCUUCGGUAGGGCUCCUAGUGGCGAACGGGUGAGUAACGCGUUGGUGACCUGCCCCGAAGAGCGGGACAACAGUUCGAAAGGACUGCUAAUACCGCAUGUGGAUGGUGAGAUUAGAAGCUUGCCAUCUAAAGGUGCAAACCGCUUCGGGAGGGACCUGCGACCCAUCAGCUAGUUGGUAGGGUAACGGCCUACCAAGGCGACGACGGGUAGGGGACCUGAGAGGGUGACCCCCCAGCCUGGCACUGAAACACGGGCCAAACACCGACGGGUGGCAGCAGUAGGGAAUAUUGCACAAUGGGCGCAAGCCUGAUGCAGCAACGCCGCGUGCGCGAUGAAGGCGUUCGGGUCCUAAAGCGCUUUUCUGGAGGAAGAGCACGGACGGUACUCCAGGAAGAAGGAUCGGCUAACUACGUGCCAGCAGCCGCAGUAAUAC
rnacentral:rRNA from 1 species